AAAGAAAUAAAUGGGUAUCUUAUCAGUUAUAUCUGUGUGAUGUUGGGGAAGGGGAGGCAACUGAAUCUGAGGAAGAAAGUUAUGAAAAAACGAAUCUUUGGAGAUCCAACAUUGGUUCCUUGGCAACAUGGAGUAAAUAUGACUCUUCCUGUCUUUCAGAAUUCCAGCCUCUGGGCAGUGAAUAUGCUAUUUGCAGUUAUACGGAGUUAAAUUAAAGGCAUAUAAUAUGUUUAAGGCAAUGCUUGGCUUAG